CGUACACGUCGCACGCGAUUCCACGCCGAUAGAGCCGUUACCGAAUCAAGUAGUGCGCUCGCGCAAGGUCGCGGGGAUCGCGGAGGGUAAUAAGCUCGUGCGUUAAGCGUACAGCAGCGGAGAGUCGGCUUCGUUAGCGAUCGCUCGCGAGGUGCUUCGUAAUCGGCGCUGUCAAGCACCGGCACAAGCACCGGCAGCGCGAGCCAGUCAGUCGCUCGAGGGCAGCCGAUCCGUCCGCAUCGCCGCCGCAGCGCGCACCACCCUCGUCAUGGGCGUCUCGAGCGAGGACAGCUCGGGAGGAGGAGGAGGCUUUUCCUUCCCGAAAAACCUGUCGCUCUGGUGGAACGAGGAGACCGAGUACGUGCUGCAGAGGAUCGAGCGCUGGGCCGCGUACGCGCGCGGCUACAACCGGCUGCGCUCGGUCCGGCUCUCGCCCGGGCGCAUGACCAUGCAGGAGGAGCCGGAGAGCCGCUGGAGCAUCAGCCAGGCGACCAGCCGGCUCGUCGUCGAGAACAACUGGUCGCCGAGCUUCCGGCAGAGGAGGCAGAGGGCCUCGACGCCGGCCGAGCAGACCCGGCUCAACUGCUGCGCCCUGAGCAACCUCAGCUACAAGUCCAACGGCAACCUGGACAGCAACUGCCUGGAGGCCUACAGCCUGGACCACAGCAUCUACUUCAAGACCAUCGGCGAGAUCCGCAGCGAGCUGGGCUCGAAGGCCGCGGGGACCCAGCAGCAGCAGAGGACGACGCCGCUGGACUGCGGCGACUUCCUCUCCUCGGACUUUGACGACGAGGACGAGGUGGACCAGCUCGAGCUCGGCUGCAACGCCUACGGCAGCAGCGGCGACGAGCUCCAGGACGACGACUCCGAGGAGCGAGCCUCGGCCGGCAGCGGCGUCAGCCAGCUCUGCCGGAGCCAGCUGAACGAGGACGAGAUCAACAACAACGUCGUGCUGAUGGGCUUCCAGAGGAAGCUCGCUGCGGCGCAGUAAUCAUCGCGGUAAUCAUCACAUCGACCGACCCGGACAUCGACAUCGGCCUGCGGUUUCGUCAUCUCUCCCAAUCAUCCCCCACACUCGCGUAUACAUCCUGCAAAAAGCAUCCCCGCACGCACGCACGCUGCGCAACGACGGCGCGGGGGGGGGAGGGGGGAGGGGGGGGUACAGGAUAUGAGCUGACUAGCUUACGUGCGAACCGUACUGCGGAGUUAUUUUCAAACCGGGGGCGAUUCGGCGCAUCGCACAGCCCCGUAUACGUGUGUGCGUCGACUCACACCCAUGCAAGGUCUGCGCGAAAGGCCGAGCGCGCUCUCGCGCAAGCACACAUCGAUCCGAGGGGAAAAGCUCGGCUGCGAGUCCUCCGCGAGCCUUGACGCGCGCGGAGACCAGUGCACCCGGAAGAGACAGGAGAGUUUCACGCUCGCCGACGAGUCCUCUGUGCAGCAGCCAUGGCCAAGCAGCUGGAGAGCGUCGCGGCGAUGGCCUGCAUGACGGUCCUCCUCAUGCUCUUCAACUUCGCCUUCACCUGCUCGGGCCUCCUCAUGCUCUGCGUGGGCAUAUGGACGAAGCUCCAGCUGACCGAGUACGCGGACGUGGGCAUCGAGAGCAGCGGGGCCGCGCUCCUCGCGCUCUCCUGCCUCGGCGCCCUGGUCGCCCUCGUCGGGAUCCUCGCCUGCUGCUGCACCACUAGGCAGCAUCCCGCUCUCCUCUACCUCAUUGCGAUGUUGGCGGUGUAUAGAGCAGUAGGCCUUGAACUUGUUCUCCACUCUCUCGACAGCUGCACUGCUGCGGCAACAGAGCCUACACCGACUGGCUCAACAUGUCCCCGCCGAGGAUCGUGCCCAGCUCGUGCUGCAGCGUCGAGGAGGGCGAGUGCGACACCACCAAUACCGAUGAUAUCUACACUCAGGGCUGCUAUAACCGCGUGAUCUACUUCAUCAAGAGCAACAUCGGCCUGGUGGCGGGCAGCGCCCUGGGGGUGGCGGUCUUCCCGAUGCUCGGCGUCUUCCUGGCCUGCUGCCUGGCGAGCUACAUCAACAAGGUCAACUACGAGCAGAUCGCUUAGACGCGACGUAUCUGCGAGAGAAAAUUGUGUGCACAACUAGCUGCGAUGAAGCAUAAGUAUCAGCAGCAGCCGCAGGAGCUGUUCCGCGCCGACCAGUGCCGACAGCUGCUGUACAGGCCGGGCCAGCCGAUCGCCAUCAGGCCGCCCCAGGUGCCGGACCUCAUUCGACAUCCGCGUCCCGGCGGUCGGUACAAUUACCCGCCGAUCUGCCGAUCUCCGGCCGCCCUCUCGACCGGCGGCCGAUCCUCGACCUCCUCCGGAUCGAAAUCGGCCCAGGCCCAUCGGCUCGAGCUCGUGCUGGACCUCAGACGCCUCCAGCAGCUACGCUCCAUGAACUCCUAUAACGACGCACCCAACUCCAUUCCACCCGGUUACUGACUGCAUGAUUACAUGUAAUAUGAUUGAGAUAAAACAAUCUUCAUCGCCUUGGUUCCAAUAUACAAACGAUCCUUUUACCGAUCAUCGCUAUAUUUUUGUAUCGCGCGCUGUCUCUCUCUAUUUCUCGUGUGAGAUGUGUGCUGCAAUUCACUACUAUCUUCCGCGCCCAGUGAAACCCUUGUGAUGGGGGGCCAUCCAGGCCUUGGCCCCCCCCCCCCCCCCCCCCUCGUAAUAUGCGCUUCCGCCCAGAUCAAUCGAUCGGUCUAUUGUGUCGAGUAUAUGAUGUAGACGCAGACGAUCAUCGUGUAGUUGUAUAGUUGUAUGGCAUAUAAUAGUCGAUGCUUGUCUGGGCUGGAAGCGCGCCCCGUGCACUAUAUUUUCUGUCGUGAGCUCUCGGAUAGAAAUCGCCAAGAAAAGUCUGACAAAUAUCGAAGGCCAAAGGAUUUAAAAUCCCGAUUAUUAAAUUAUAUCGAGAAUCGAGUGUAAACAAGAGAUGAUAGAUAUAUCCUACUCGUAUAUCCCGUCCCCUCAGUCCCCGUAUACACACGACUCCUUAUUCAAUAUGAAACGAGUCAAUGUCGAUGUCGAUGUAUACUGGUCUAACUAUCACAAAGAAAUCUUCAACAACGAUCGUUUAAUCGCAUCAUCUGGUAUACUUGUAAUUCCAAUCUAAUCUGUAAGAUCAUCAUCUCAUCCUCGUCGUCUCACCUUCAUCAGCUUUUCUUAGCGAACACGAGUUAGGCGAUUUGAUUUAUCCUUUAUUUUGCUUCUUAUAGUUUGGCAUCUAUAACGGGCUGGAGACCUGGUGACGGUACUUUGCACGCGUUUUUUGAUAAAUUAGCGUUGCUACACUUUUGUAUCUUUACCGUGAUUCGUAAAAAUAUAAGCAAAGCUUAAAAAAAAGUGUAAAAGCAAAAAUUGUUAAAAAUAUUAAUAACUCUGAUCAAUCAAAACCGAUGUAUGCGUUUUUAGGUUUAUAUACAUUCGAUGACGAGCACCUGAUACGACAACUGUACUGAAUCUUCUCAAUAAGCUACAAGCAUUGGCCUCAAUUUUCCUAUACGCGCAUUUAUUGAAUUUACUGAAUAUACAACGUGUACAAAAUGCCCUUCGACCGAGUCUCGCAGUGCUCACUCGUCUGUGCGAAGCAUCUUCACCAGGCCCUACUCUCGAGAUCUAUAUUUGUAGUUACAUCUACUUUUUACGAUGGAAAAAAAGAGUAACGGAUAAAACAAAGAGAGAUAUCUAUCGGUCAUAUUUUUGAUGAGCAAGGUUCCAGAAUCUUCCAAAAAACCAACGGAAAGGUGCUGCAUGCUUGCACGAGCGAUCGUGCAAGUUUACACAUAUAGUUGUAGAUGACGUUCCAUACGAGCAUUUUCAAUCAUUACCACAUACGUCACAAUUAACUUAUACUGUUAUAUUACAAAAUGAUAUUAUAAUGUUGAAGUAAUUUAUACUUUUCUUCUUACAAAUACAAUAUUUAAAAGUUGUUAAGAAACUUAUUCAAUGUAUUUUCAAGUCGAUGAGUCUACGUUGUUAGCUUACUAUUUUAAACUGAAGAGUAUUUCAAAAAACAUUUAUUGUCAGAAACUUGAUGUAAUUCUUCAAAGUAUGUUAUUAAAUAAUUCUGGAAAUAAUAA